rnacentral:rRNA from 1 species
ACCAGACUCCUACGGGAGGCAGCAGUGGGGAAUAUUGGGCAAUGGGCGCAAGCCUGACCCAGCAACGCCGCGUGAAGGAAGAGGGCCCUCGGGUUGUAAACUUCUUUUAUCAAGGACGAAGCAAAUGACGGUACUUGAUGAAUAAGCCACGGCUAACUACGUGCCAGCAGCCGCGGUAAUACGUAGGUGGCAAGCGUUGUCCGGAUUUACUGGGUGUAAAGGGCGUGUAGCCGGGCUGACAAGUCAGAUGUGAAAUCCGGGGGCUCAACCCCUGAACUGCAUUUGAAACUGUUGGUCUUGAGUAUCGGAGAGGCAGGCGGAAUUCCUAGUGUAGCGGUGAAAUGCGUAGAUAUUAGGAGGAACACCAGUGGCGAAGGCGGCCUGCUGGACGACAACUGACGUUGAGGCCCGAAAGCGUGGGGAGCAAACAGGAUUAGAUACCCCGGUA